rnacentral:rRNA from 1 species
AACGCUAGCUACAGGCUUAACACAUGCAAGUCGAGGGGCAUCAGGAACAAAGCUUGCUUUGUUUGCUGGCGACCGGCGCACGGGUGAGUAACGCGUAUCCGACCUGCCCAUAACACGGGGACAGCCGCUCGAAAGAGUGAUUGAUACCCGAUAUGUCAUAUAAGUAGGUUAUAUGAUGAAAGAUUCAUCGGUUAUGGAUGGGGAUGCGUAAGAUUGGUAGUAGGCGGGGUAACGGCCCACCUAGCCGACGAUCUUUAGGGGUUCUGAGAGGAAGGUCCCCCACACUGGUACUGAGACACGGACCAGACUCCUACGGGAGGCAGCAGUGAGGAAUAUUGGUCAAUGGGCGGAAGCCUGAACCAGCCAAGUAGCGUGAAGGAUUACAGCCCUACGGGUUUUAAACUUCUUUUAUAUAAGAGUAAUGUGCUCUACGUGUAGAGUAUUGCAAGUAUUAUAUGAAUAAGCAUCGGCUAACUCCGUGCCAGCAGCCGCGGUAAUACGGAGGAUGCGAGCGUUAUCCGGAUUUAUUGGGUUUAAAGGGAGCGUAGGCGGGAUAUUAAGUCAGUCGUCAAAGCCUGUGGCUCAACCACAGCCCGCGAUUGAUACUGGUAACCUUGAGUGCGGAUGAGGUGGAUGGAAUUCGUGGUGUAGCGGUGAAAUGCUUAGAUAUCACGAAGAACUCCGAUUG